GAGUUUAAUAUGUUGUACUGGUACUAAUAGGCUGCAUAAUUGGGCCGGGGUAUACGUGACUGCAGCAAAGGUAUAAAAGUAAAUUAAAGAUAUAAAAUGCUUUACGAUCAUUUCGCUCUGCUAGUCUAAACAAGAUUUCAUUUCAACUGCGAAAAAAUGCUAUUAAAACCUUUCUUAACUGUUACUGCAUAGUUCCCUUUAUGUUGUAUUCUAGAAUACACACGUCACAAUCUACCGGUGACUAAAAAUAUUCGAAUAUAUUCCCGAAACCCCGAUUGUUGCAGCGAUUGUUGCACUUCUGCAAGACAAUCGCCAUAUUGUUUGGAUAGCUGGUGACGUAGAGAUCACGUGACUUAGGCGACAUUGGAAUAUAUCUGGGGGCGUUACGCGAAUUUAAUAAUUGCACUAAUUACGCACUUUUCUUUAAUUAGGGCUCAUUUAAUUAGAAAGAAACUCCAAUUUUGACACCCAAUUUAAACUAAUAUUACGCGAAAGAUAAAUAAACACCCCAGUUUAAAGCUUAAAAAGUAAUUUAAUGACAAUACACGAUUUUUGGCGCAAUUUUUAUGCAGAAUCAUUAAAAAUGGAGUUUUUUUACAAAAACAGGUGAAGUUUGUUCUAAAUUUUCUGUUAAAAUAAAGAAAUAAAGAGGUCUCGGUGUUGGGUUGUAUUUGUUUACAAGCUUUAAUGUCUAAAACUACUCAUUUGCGUAGGUUUUAGAACCGAAAGGUUAAAAUUAUACCGUCAUAGUUUUGGUAAACAGUACGUAAUGUAACGCCUACGUAUAAUGUAUUACUAGUAGUAGGAAUGAAACUGCGUGGUGUAGUUGUUAUGACGGUAAUAUAUGAAGUACGCACUAAGCCAUAAUACGUAUGUUGCUACAGCGGGGUUUAAUGCGAACUGUGUUACCAAGAAACGGUAUAACCUGUUCUAUUAUUACAUACAGUACACCACAGAUAAAACACUUUGGUUUGCUAUGGCUUUUAUACAGUAUACGUAAAGCGUCAGUAAUUUAAAGCCAAGUGCUAUUAUAGCCUUUAUUGCAAAUAUCUAAUGUAUAAAAACAUCACCAAACACCUCCGACAUACGUCAUGAUCCUAAUAUAUAGUCUAAUAUAAAUUAUAUGAAGGCCGUUUACGUCACUUAUGGCUGUAAAAAGAAGAAUUAAGUUCACAGCAUUUACGUAGAGACGUUUUGUAGCGUCUAUAAUGGCCGUUAUCUGGAAUUUUGGCUGCAGAGAGCGGUAUUGAGUAAUCGCUGGGUUCUUACAAUGAUGUGUGCGUGUUGUUUUCAACAGAUUGAAGAGCACAGGAUACCAGUUUCAAUUCCUAGCUACCUCGAAAACAAUAUUAUUCGUUGGGUUUUAGUUUUUUAAUGCAAAUGGCUUCGAAAUAUAUUUAAUAAUUACAGCGUGUGACACAUUGAUUGGACUUAUUUUUAUAGUUUUAAAUGUAAGCGCAUGCGUCUUUGGGCGAGACGCUUGGCAGUAAUUGCUUCAGCCCAGUGGUCACUGAUGGUUUGUCUAACAGUUGUCAGUAAUACAGAAAAACAAUCACCCACAAAAUUGCAAGUCCUAAACGGGCACUAGGUGCAUGAAACGGAGCACUCAUGUUAUUAGGACUGCCGUUUCCCGCCUCGGCGGGAGGAAAAACAAGUCACAUUCAUUCAUUUGUCAUCACGACUCUAAAAUAGCAUUGUUAAUUGAUUAUAACACGUUCAAGAAAUAUGGGAAGUAGGUACAAACAGUAUCCAUUCUACACCAUAGUACUAAACAUCUCAUACACUAAAAUAUUCCAAUAAUUUCUCUUUUUAAGCGACUAUUUUGUUCAACCAAACCAACCACCACAGUCAGACUGCACAAUAUCCAUAUUUUUAAAUCCAUACGACGCAAUUUAUGGUUAUAUGUUACAUAAACACAAUGUUUUAAUAGUUCGAUUUUCCGUCGUCUAUUUUAUUUACCACCACUAACCACGUGACAAGCUAAAUUGUUUCUGUUAUCAGCGCGACCGCAGUUGUGUCAUUGACAGAAGCUCAUUUAUGACGUCACAAGCAGGCCGUUUGUCCCCGCUUCGAUUUUCUGACAAUGCAUUGUUCUUAUCGCGUUUGACAUUAAACAGAAAUCUAAAUUUUCUAGAACAGCGUCAUUGUGACGAAAUAAUAGUUUCUAUUCGAAAACAAAGACCACGUGACGGAAACUAUUCUAGAAUCAACAAAACAAUGGAGUUCUGGAAUUCUAGACAAUGGGAAUUAAAACGUGAACAAACAGCAUAGAAACAUCAUAAAGUUUUUAUAUUUAUUAAAUUUAAUUAUUAAAUUCGUGCUAAAGUGGGGAGCACUUAUUCUUAUCUAUGCAAGUACUCUCUUGGCUCACUGUGACGAAUAUAAAGGGAUAAUGACGUACAAUUAAAUGAAGAUACGUCAUGAUAAA